GGGAAGCUUUUAAGAAAAAUAGAGAUAUAUUAAUCAAGGAGUUCCAAGUGAUUUCGAGGAGGCGUCGUGAUUGGUAUUCCGAUAGUCUUUCGGAUUUGUAGACUCGGGAUUAGGUGGAUUUGAGGAUUAUUCAAAAUCUUAGAACGGGCCAAGGAAUAAGAUUCGAGAUUGUUAUUAUUUUCUAGGUGAAUGUUAAAUAAAGUCCUUGAUGUUUCGUUGAUAAAUUGAGAGUUUUGGAAUAAUAAUAUUCUUUCCUUUAAGUUGAGGUUUAU